ACUGUAGGUGGACAGUCACGAGAUUCUGUGCAGUUGAGUGGAGUUGAGAUAUCGGGGAUACCCUGCUUCACUAUAAGCUUCUAGGCACUUUUUCUGGGAUUGGGCACUUUUGGGAAGCCUCUGAGGGCACUGAAGAUGCCUGCUGCUUCCAGGGCUCACACAAUGCAAUCCUCUCUUGGUUAUAUUGAAUGAUCAUGGUGACUGGGAGAAGCUCCUGAAGACUGGAAAAGAGCAAAUCUCUCUUCUGUCUUCACAAAGGAAGGUGCAAGGAACUACAGGUCAAUAGGCUUCAAUCCCUGGCAAUGUGAAAGAGGAAAUCUUCCUGAAAACCAUUUCCAAAUAUAGGGAGGACAAGAAGGUGAUUGGGAUAGUCUCCAUGGAUUUAUGAAAGGAAAAUUUUGCUUGAUGAAAUACCUUGCUUUUUAAUAUGAUGUGGCUAACUAGGUGGAUGAGAUGUGAGCAGUGAAUGCCAACCUCAGCUUUAGCAAAGCCUUUGACAUUAUCUCCCAUUAUCUUCAUAGACAAGCUGACAAAGUACAGGUUAGAUGGGUGGAUGGUGAGGUGGAUUGAAAACCAUCUGAAAAAGAAGGUCCAGAAGUUUUUCAUUAGGGGCACAAUGUCCAAUUGGAGAUGAGUGUACCCCACUAACAGGGCUGCUCCUAGAGCCAGUAGUGUCCAGUGUCCUCAUUAACAGCCUGGACAAUGGGGCAGAAGAAAUCAAGAGCAAAUCAAGUUCAACAAGAGCUAAUGCAAAAUUCAGCGUCUUGAGAGGAAUACACUCCUCCCAAGCAUACACUGAAAACAAACUGUCUGGAAGAAGGCUUUGUGUAGAAGAACUCUUUGGACAAUAAGCAGACCAUGAGCCAGCAGCACAUCCUUGUGGCAUAAAACAGGCCAACAAUAUCCCAGCCUGCAUUUGAAAGAGCACUGCCAACAGGUCAGGGGAAAUAUCCUUCCCCUUUGCUCAGCUCUGGUGAGACCACCUCAAGGAAGACACAGAUUUCCUCAGGGGUGUCAAGGUGCAGCUGGAGAAACUUCUGUGGAAGGAGAGACUGAGAGCUGGGAAUCUUCAGCCUGGAGGUUGUAAAUGUCUGAUGUGAGGGAAUAAAGAAGAGGGAGACACAUUCUCCUCAGUAACAGCUGGUGACAGGACAAGAGGCAAGGGGUAAGAAAUUUUAAAAAAAGAAAAAAAACCAAAACCCAGAAAAUUCUAUCUCAACACAAGAAAGAAUGUGAAGUUCAUCAAAUACUGAUGCAGGCUGCCCAGAGAGGUUGUGGAGUCUCCAUCUGUGGAGAUACCCAAAAGCUGAGUAGACACAGUCCUGGACAAUUGAUCCUGCUUGGGACAGGGGUUAUACUGAGUGAUCUCGAGACUUUCCUCCAACCCAGACAAUU